rnacentral:lncRNA from 1 species
ACCUGGCAAGAAGGCGAGUGACAUUUGUAUGAAGGAGUAUAAUAAUCACAGUAAUAACCAUGACAAAAUGAUGCAGGUGCUGAUAGUAGGUGGUUACUUCUUACAGUUUCCUGGGAAACCAUAGGUCAUGAAUACCCACAUUGGAAAUGACGUGGAGAACUUGAAAUGCAUGCUCGCUCCCUUGCGAGACUGCCCCGUGCCAGCUGAUCGCUGCAGUCUCUUGGCUCACCAUUUUUCCUCUGUGUUUGGGCUAGGAUUUGAGCCACGGAAAUGGGAUGAACUGAAUUCUGAGGAUGUCCUGCAUUCAGAA